AAUCAUAGAGAAAUGAAUAUUAAAAGAGUGUUUGAAAGGUAGCCUAAAUUGAUCAUCAAGUUUUAAACCUUAACCUAAGAUAUUUAGUUCGGUUAGACGGCAUCGAGGGCCAACUUCUGUCAUAAUUGUCAUUAUUAUUAUCGAUUUUCUUUCCUUCCUUGCCAUCACCCACCUUCGCAUCAUCGAUUGUCGCCAUUGCUUAUUCCUUUUUAUUUGGGCGUCCAUUGGGUGUGUUCUUUUGUUUUUUCUCAACAAAAAAUAGUUAAAAAUGUAGCUUAAAGUCAUUAAAGUGUAAUUUCAUCAUAUAGGCAGAAGCUUUUUUGUUGUUUUAUUGUGUGGUUUCAGAUCCCUAGGAUGGGGUCUGACGAAAGGUAUCAUCAUCAGUGCUUUGCUGCUAGGAAGUACCAAAAGCACAAUAAGUGAAACAACUUCCAUUCUACCAGGUCACUACUCAAGGAGGUACCUCACCUCGAUAAGGUGGGAGUAAGAUCCAGGGAUGCUCUUUGAAUAUUUAAGAAAAAGGACCGAUGACAUCUAGAAUUAAGGGUAUACAUCAGUGUCAACUAAUUUUUAAUAUCAUACUCUCCAUAAAGAAUAUUUUAAUUACAGGAUUAGUUUUUAUAUAUUACCACUCCCCUAACAUUUUUGGGUACCCUCUGUACAAAAAAGUAGGUAGUAAACGUAAAAUUUUUAGGGCAUAUUUUUGAGAAAUAUAGUUCUUAUGUCUGUAAAUAACUAAUUUAUAAAUUUGAUAAAUUGUAAUUUCUGUAUCAUAUCCUCAAAAUGUAAAAUGUAAAAAGCAAAAUACAUACCAUGGAGUGUUGUGCUAAAGCAGCACAAAAACAAAUUGUAUCAGGAUCCCUUUUAAGACAAUAAAUUAUAAACUUAC
rnacentral:lncRNA from 1 species